AUCGUAACUCCUACGGGAGGCAGCAGUAGGGAAUAUUGGGCAAUGGGCGAGAGCCUGACCCAGCCAUGCCGCGUGCCGGAUGAAGGCCUUCUGGGUUGUAAACGGCUUUUCUCAGGGAAGAAAAAGGGGAUGCGUCCCACACUGACGGUACCUGAGGAAUAAGCACUGGCUAACUCCGUGCCAGCAGCCGCGGUAAUACGGAGGGUGCAAGCGUUGUCCGGAUUUAUUGGGUUUAAAGGGUGCGUAGGUGGCCCGUUAAGUCCGGGGUGAAAGCCCACUGCUCAACAGUGGAACUGCCCUGGAUACUGACGGGCUUGAGUCCAGACGAGGUUGGCGGAAUGGAUGGUGUAGCGGUGAAAUGCAUAGAUACCAUCCAGAACCCCGAUUGCGUAGGCAGCUGACUAGGCUGGUACUGACACUGAGGCACGAAAGCGUGGGGAGCGAACAGGAUUAGAAACCCCGGUAGUCCUAGAGC
rnacentral:rRNA from 1 species